AGGACGAACGCUGGCGGCGUGCUUAACACAUGCAAGUCGAGCGGAAAGGCCUUUUCGGGGUACUCGAGCGGCGAACGGGUGAGUAACACGUGAGUAACCUGCCCCCUACUUUGGGAUAACCCUCGGAAACGGGGGCUAAUACCGGAUAUGACUUGGCCCGGCAUCGGGUUUUGGUGGAAAGUUUUUUCGGUGGGGGAUGGGCUCGCGGCCUAUCAGCUAGUUGGUGGGGUAACGGCCUACCAAGGCGACGACGGGUAGCC
rnacentral:rRNA from 1 species